rnacentral:rRNA from 1 species
GUGCCAGCAGCCGCGGUAAUACGUAGGUGGCAAGCGUUGUCCGGAAAUUAUUGGGCGUAAAGCGCGCGCAGGCGGGUCUCUUAAGUCUGAUGUGAAAGCCCCCGGCUCAACCGGGGGAGGGUCAUUGGAAACUGGGAGACUUGAGUACAGAAGAGGAGAGUGGAAUUCCACGUGUAGCGGUGAAAUGCGUAGAGAUGUGGAGGAACACCAGUGGCGAAGGCGACUCUCUGGUCUGUAACUGACGCUGAGGCGCGAAAGCGUGGGGAGCAAACAGGAUUAGAUACCGUGGUAGUCC